CUAUUUCAUCUUUAUUUGUUUUAUUUUUAUCAUUUUAUUUUAUUCUUGUGCAAUUUAGUCCCUUGACCCACUGUUGACCUUCUGAGGGAAGGACACAUUUAAUAUGGGUGGGUUAAUACCCUUUUCGGUCUCUUUUCAUUUUCUCAUUUCAAUUUAGUCCUUUAUAUCCCUUUUUUUAUUUAGACAUCAAAUUUUGUUGGACUUUCAAUUUAGUCCU
rnacentral:lncRNA from 1 species